UUGGCAGGUUCCGCCAUGCCAGGACAGGGGUCUUCAGCAUGUGCCACACCACACCUUUGACAGGGACUUCCUCAGGGAAUGUGUUCAGGGGCCCUGCCCAUAACCACCAUCCCCCAGGAGAGGAUCUUCCCCUCUGGGUAAUGUCACCGGUGGGACAAAAUCUCCCCAGGAUGUGCAACCCCUCAUCUGGGACCCCUCAGGACAGAACCUGCAUCCCAUGUCACUCUCAGCACAAAUGGCUUCUUCCUUCUGCAGCGUGAAAGAGAAAGUGAAAUUGUUGGGGUACACAGCCGGACACCCUCAUCCGCCACAGCCUCCCCACCCUUCCCUGUACCCCCCACACCCCAUUCCCCCCCUCCCCUGGGUACCCUAACCCAUUCCCUGCUCAGGUGCUUCUAGGGAUUGCUGAACAAGGAACUGGGGGUCAGGGGACAUGGCACAAAAGUGAGGAAAAUAAGGAAAAUAAGACAUAAAGAGAGGAAAAAUUAAGGGCAGUGGAGGGCACAGAAGCAGAGCUACCCAGGACUCCCAUGUGACACCUACAAAGGGAAGGAGCACACCAGGCGGCAGCACUGGGCCCUGGGUCACCCCAAAAUCUGAGGCACUCAUAUAAGAACCUAUGGCCUACGAGCUCACCUAGCCACUGCCCAUCCCUGGCACCACCAUUCCCCUGGGACCCCAACCAUUGGAUCCCCAUUCCUUCUGUCUCCCCUUCCCUGGGGCCUUCAUGCCUGGACUGCAAUUCCACAGGAUCUCCAACCCCAAGGAACCACAUCCUCAUAAUUCCAGCCCCUGAGGCUCCCCAUCCCUUGGGCACCUUGAUUUUCCUAGGACACCGAUUCUCACAGGGCCCCCCCUUUCCCCUAACACCCUCAUCCCUUGAUCACAGAUUCCUGGAGACCACGUUGUUCUGGGACCUUCAUCUACGAGUCUGAGUCCCCCCAAUCCUUGGGACUCCCAUUCCCAUGAGACCCCAUCCCUGGGCACCCCAUUGCCCUGAACACCCAUCCCUGGCUCCCUCCACCACCUCAGCCUCCAAAUUCUGGCCACACCAUGUCCCCACCAUGUCCCACCAUCACCCCCAUGUCCCACAAAGUCCCCGCCCUGCCCCCAUGCUGUCUCUACCCUGCCCCCACGAAGGGCCACCUACACAUGGGGACAAGAUGUGACUUCGCUUCCUUCCCCUUCAUCUGAAGAGCCGCCACCCAGGGGAACAGUGGCCACAGCAGUGAGUGACAGCCAGUCCACAUGGCUGGGGACACUGGGAUGGCCAGGAAGGUGGCGCUGCUCCUGUGGGCUGCCAGGAAGCACCAGGAAAGCUUCCUGAUCCUCGUGAAAGGACAAAAAUCGGGACCACCAGGGAAAAGAAAGAUCCUUUUCUGAAAUCUGGGUCUGACUGGUCCACCAAGCCAAACUAUUGUCCACAGCUGUGUUUGUACACCCCAUGGAACACUGCAUCCAAAAAGGGGCACUGUGCUCUCGUCUGCCUCCAUCGCUUUGCAACACUGGUUCUGGAAUUUUCCUCACCUCCCAGCUUGGCUGGACUUUCUCUCUGGAAUGACCUUUUGGUGGUCCUCACGAAAAAGACCCUUCAUUUACCGUACAUCAACCACUGUGACAGAUGGACUGAGAUGGGAGAAACCUCUCUCUCAAGGACUGAAACAUGAGACUCUUAUAUGGAAAUGCUCCCCCCUCCUCCCCAAGGACUGAGCCUGAAAUUCCUAACACGGGGGGAGGAGUGUGGGGGAGGCAAGUUGCCUGCAAGCUGACCACUGGACCAAGAAAACAAUGGUUCUCACCUACUGCUGAUGGA